UACGAAGGUGGCAAGCGUUGUUCGGAUUUACUGGGCGUACAGGGAGCGUAGGCGGUUGGGUAAGCCCUUCGUGAAAUCUCCGGGCCUAACCCGGAAAGUGCGGAGGGGACUGCUCGGCUAGAGGAUGGGAGAGGAGCGCGGAAUUCCCGGUGUAGCGGUGAAAUGCGUAGAGAUCGGGAGGAAGGCCGGUGGCGAAGGCGGCGCUCUGGACCGACAUUGACGCUGAUGAGCGAAAGCUAGGGGAGCAAACAGG
rnacentral:rRNA from 1 species